rnacentral:tRNA from 1 species
GGGGAUUUAGCUCAGUGGUAGAGCGCUUGCCUAGCAAGCGCAAGGCCCUGGAUUCGAUCCCCA